UAACAGGAUUUUCUUAGUAGCGGCGAGCGAAAAGAAAACAGUUCAGCACUAAGUCACUUUGUUUGUAAGAGCAAAUGUGAGAUGCAGUGUAUGGAGUAUCUUAAAUCUAGUAUGAGAAAUUAAUGAUUAAAGUCCUUCUUAAAUGAGGCCAGUUACCCAAAGAGGGUGCCAGGCCCGUAUAACAUUAAUGAUUACUAGAAGAUAUUUCCAAAGAGUCGUGUUGCUUGAUAGUGCAGCACUAAGUGGGUGGUAAACUCCAUCUAAAACUAAAUAUAACCAUGAGACCGAUAGCAAACAAGUACCGUGAGGGAAAGUUGAAAAGAACUCUGAAUAGAGAGUUAAAUAGUACGUGAAACUGCUUAGAGGUUAAACCCGAUGAAACUGAAUAUCCCGUAUAGAAAAUUCAUCAUUAUGAUUUAUAAUAUUUCAAAAAAUAUUAUAAUAAUAGUGUGCAUUUUUUCUAUAUAAAGGACAUUGUAAUCUAUUAAUAUAAUAAUAUAUAUAUUUAUCAAAAGAUCAAUUACGCUAUAAGUUUAUUUAAAUUAGUUUACACUUCGGUGUUUAUUAACAUAGAAUAAAUGUUUUUGAUUUGAUAAAGUGUUGAUAGAUUUAUAAAUAAAAAUAUAGUGCGCAAAUUUUAAUACAAAAUUUUACAAUGCAUAUUCAUCUUAUAGGUGUUUGUGUCAUUUGUAAGCACUUAUAUGAUUAACAAUGCGAAAGAUUCAGUAUACCUUCGGGACCCGUCUUGAAACACGGACCAAGGAGUCUAACAUAUGUGCAAGUCAUCGGGAUUUUAUAAUUUAUAAACCCAAUGGCGUAAUUAACUUAACUUUAAAAUAAUGGGAUUAGUUACGAUUUCUGAUUUAAUUUAGUGAUUGUAAUUCAAUCCCGGGGCGUUUCGUCUAGUUAUGUAUAAUAAUGAUUUAUUAUUAUUUAUGCCUCUAACUGAAGCGUACCUUGAGCAUAUAUGCUGUGACCCGAAAGAUGGUGAACUAUACUUGAUCAGGUUGAAGUCAGGGGAAACCCUGAUGGAUGACCGAAACAGUUCUGACGUGCAAAUCGAUUGUCAGAAUUGAGUAUAGGGGCGAAAGACCAAUCGAACCAUCUAGUAGCUGGUUCCCUCCGAAGUUUCCCUCAGGAUAGCUGGUGCAUUUAAAAAUAAUAUAAAAUAAUCUUAUCUGGUAAAGCGAAUGAUUAGAGGCCUUAGGGUCGAAACGAUCUUAACCUAUUCUCAAACUUUAAAUGGGUAAGAACCUUAACUUUCUUGAUAUGAAGAUUGAGGUUACAAUAUGAUAUAAUGUGCCCAGUGGGCCACUUUUGGUAAGCAGAACUGGCGCUGUGGGAUGAACCAAACGUAAUGUUACGGUGCCCAAAUUUACAACUCAUACAGAUACCAUGAAAGGCGUUGGUUGCUUAAAACAGCAGGACGGUGGACAUGGAAGUCGUAAUCCGCUAAGGAGUGUGUAACAACUCACCUGCCGAAGCAACUAGCCCUUAAAAUGGAUGGCGCUUAAGUUGUAUACCUAUACAUUACCGCUAAAAUAGAUGAUUUAUUAUAAUAAUAAUGAAUUUUGAAAUUUUAGUGAGUAGGAGGGUACAAUGGUGUGCUUAGAAGUGUUUGGCGUGAGCCUGCAUGGAGCCGCCAUUGGUACAGAUCUUGGUGGUAGUAGCAAAUAAUCGAAUGAGACCUUGGAGGACUGAAGUGGAGAAGGGUUUCGUGUGAACAGUGGUUGAUCACGAGUUAGUCGGUCCUAAGUUCAAGGCGAAAGCCGAAAAUUUUCAAGUUACAAAUAAACAUAUAUAUAUCUAUCUAUUGUAUUGUAUAAUAAUAAAACACUUGAAUUUUUUUGAACGAAAGGGAAUACGGUUCCAAUUCCGUAACCUGUUGAGUAUACGUUUGUUAUUAAAAAUGGGCCUUGUGCUCAUCCUGGUAACAGGAACGACCAUAAAGAAGCCAUCGAGAGAUAUCGGAAGAGUUUUCUUUUCUGUUUUAUAAUCGUAUUACCAUGGAAGUCUUUCGAAGAGAGAUAUGGUAAAUGGAUUAGAAGAGCAUGACAUUUACUGUUGUGUCGAUAUUUUCUCCUUGGACCUUGAAAAUUUAUGGCGGGGUCACGCAAACUUCUCAACAGGCCGUACCGAUAUCCGCAGCUGGUCUCCAAGGUGAAGAGUCUCUAGUCGAUAGAAUAAUGUAGGUAAGGGAAGUCGGCAAAUUAGAUCCGUAACUUCGGGAUAAGGAUUGGCUCUGAAGAUUGAGAUAGUCGGGCUUGAUUGGGAAACAAUAACAUGGUUUAUGUACUCGUUCUGAUUAAUAUAGGGAUUUUCGGAUCUUGUUCAUCGGAUAGUAGUUACAUAACCAAUUGUGGAACUCUCUUGCUAAAAUUUUUAUUAAUAUAUGACUUCUCUAACAAGGAGUUUGUAUAUUUAAUUUCAAUUAUAACGAUUAUCAAUUAACAAUAAAUUCAGAACUGGCACGGACUUGGGGAAUCCGACUGUCUAAUUA
rnacentral:rRNA from 1 species